UUGGGGCGGCUGUGGUGGGAUCAGUGUACAUGUUUCCUCCGUGAUGAUGGCCGGUGUCUGGCUGUGGUCCCAUCGCCCAGUAGCAGGGACGGGCGGCGCCCACACCCGCAAUCCGGGCUGUUGAGCGGGGCGCAGCCACGCUGUCGGCAGGCCGCUCAGGCCCGCCCUGAGGACCGCCCGCAGCAGCAGCAACGCCCGCGACGCUGCUUCUGCUGCUGGUGGUUGAGGUGGUGGCGCUGGCUGUUUGUGGCCGCGCCCGCCCACCAGCACCAGCAGGACACCCCUCACCAGGCGGCCGGUGGGCAGCACGAGGCGCCAGCCGCCCGGCACACUAUACACGACGCCCACCUCCGGCGUCUCGCCCCAUUAGACGGCAACGACUUCUGCAGCGACGACGAGGGCGACGGCGGCGGCGACGGGCAGGGCAGUAUGGCGCACCUACAGCCCCCGACCUCCCCACCCGCACACUGCUUCGUGAAGCGAACCUUUCACAAGCCCGUCUACUGCCACCACUGUACCGAUCUACUGUGGGGCAUUAUCGGCCAGGGCUACACCUGUGAGGUGUGUAACUUCGUGGUCCAUGACAAGUGUAUGAAGACCGUCGUCUCUCCGUGCUCCAGCAUUGCCCCUACCCUGAUCAAGACGCCCGUAGCACACUGCUGGUCGGAGCCACUACACCUGCGCCGACGCCAUUGUAAUGUCUGCCGCAAGAAACUGGACGACACCUGGGCCAUUAAGUGUGAAGUGUGCGAAUACGAUGUGCACGUGGAGUGUGAGGACUUCACGGUGCCCAACUGUAAGGACUGUGCGACCUUCGUGCCGGAGAAGACACUGCCGCAGGUGAUACAGCAACAUCACUGGCGGGAGGGAAACCUGCCUGCUAACUCCAAAUGUAUCGUGGAUAAGAAGACGUGCUGGACGGGGGAGUGCCUGGCGGGGAUGAGGUGUGAGUGGUGCGGGUACACCGUGCACGCCAUGUGUGCUGACAAGGUCCCUACCGACUGCACCUUUGGCCUCCUCGAGCCAAUUAUGCUACCCCCUACUGCAGUGAGCAUCCCGAGGACAGAGGUGCCCAUGGAAGCAAUAAUAGGCGUCCAGAGCAGGAGGAAGGACACCCUCUCACCUCGCAGCAUCUCUGAAGAGUUUACAAGCGGAGACUACAAGGCGCGAGAUAAUGAGGAACCCCCGCGAGACAGAGCAAGAGACAGGGAUGAGAAAGACGAAGAGGUGGUCAAAGUGUUCGACGGCAACAACUCCCUGCGGCGUCGCAUGUUUCGUCUGGUGACUGUGUCGCGUGCGGCCAGCGUCUCCGAAUUUCUGACGGCAGCCAUGCGCGCCUUCCACGUGCCGCAGGAGAACAGCAAGACCUACCUCACCGACGCUUACUCGGCGGAAGAGACGGAACUGACGGACCCGUUACCUGUCGGUAAACUGACCCGCAGGGACGGCAAGCGGCCAGCUGUCUUCCUCAGAUAUAGGGAGAAGGACAACGACGAGGGGUGUAUCCGGGUGUAUCCGUCACGGCUGGGUGGGGCGGUGGUGAUGGAUCAGACUGUACUGCCCGUCACCUCCACCACCUGUGUGACCGACAUCAUCGUCCACGCCCUAAAUAAGUUCGGGAUUCCAGAAAACAAGCCCGACGACUACCGCCUGGUGGAGGUCAUACUAGACAAGGGAGUGUCCGAGAGAGUGAUGGAGAACAUCGAGCGGCCGUGGGAACUACUCAAAGCAGUGGGUCGUGACAGCAUCCGGCAGAUGGAAAUGACCCGUUUCUACCUGCAACUGGCCAAAGACCCCCAUGGACCCAGCAUCGCCCUCUUCGUUGGCAGCCUUCCACCUAACCUCUCACAGCGACAGUACGAGAACAUCCUAGCAGACAUCCUCGGUAAAGCUGGGUACAAAUACUCGAGCAUCGGGCCCAUCUACUACGAGUACGGUUCAAUGGUCCUCACUUACGAAGACUCAGACUUGGCAGUGAGAGCUUUCUACACCCUCAGAGAAUCUUGCUACGACGACAAGAACCUCCUAGUGAUGUUGCUCCCCAACAUACAACCUCAGAUGAUCCCAGAGGGCGUGCAGCCGCUCCUCGUCUUCGUCAACGUUAAGUCCGGUGGCUGCCAGGGUCUUGAACUCAUCACCUCCUUCAGGAAGCUCCUCAACCCUUACCAGGUGUUCGACCUCGAUAAUGGAGGACCACUACCUGGGUUGUACGUGUUCCGUCACGUAAAGAAAUACAAGAUCCUGGUGUGUGGCGGGGACGGUACCAUUGGUUGGGUCCUGCAGUGCCUGGAUAAUGUGGGGCAGGAUUCUGAGUGCCAACACCCAGCCUGUGCCAUUGUACCCUUAGGGACAGGCAAUGACCUAGCACGGGUCCUUCGCUGGGGCCCUGGCUACAACGGCGGGGAGGAUCCCAUCAACCUCUUGAAGGACGUUAUCGACGCCGAAGAUAUCCGACUAGACAGGUGGACCGUGGUCUUCCACCAAGACGAGAAGGUGGAAGACAAGCAGACGCAGACCAACUCAACAGGGCACUCACGUCGUGGAAUGUACAUAACCCAUGGACAGGAUUCUAACCGACGACGCUGUGUCUCGAAAGAACACAACCAUCACACCAUGCACGCAGGCUCCACCAGCGAGGACAACACACAGAUCUUCGUUAUGAACAACUACUUCGGUAUCGGCAUCGAGGCAGAGCUCUGCCUCGACUUCCACAACGCCCGUGAGGAAAACCCCAACAAGUUCAACAGCAGGCUACACAACAAGGGCGUCUACGUAAAAAUGGGUCUGCGCAAGAUGGUGUCAAGGAAGUUGUGUAAGGACCUACAUAAGGAGAUCCGCCUGGAGGUGGACGGUCGCACGGUGGAGUUGCCGCCCGUGGAGGGAGUCAUCAUCCUCAACAUUUUGUCGUGGGGCUCGGGAGCCAACCCCUGGGGACCCGAGAAGGACGACCAGUUCAACAAACCCAACCACUGGGACGGUCACCUGGAAGUGGUUGGUGUCACCGGUAUCGUCCACCUGGGCCAGAUACAGUCUGGACUCCGCUCUGCCAUAAGGAUAGCCCAGGGGGGACACAUCCGCAUCAAGCUCAACUCUGAACUUCCAGUUCAAGUGGACGGGGAACCCUGGAAUCAGGCGCCGGGGGAGGUGGUGGUUCUGAAGUCUGCUCUAAAGGCCACCAUGCUCAAGAAGACCUCCAAGUCUAAGCUGCGGAGGCGGAACACGGAGCCUUCCAUGGUGGCCAACGAACAAGCUAAGCUGGAAACCAUCAGACCCGACCCGGCCUCCUCCUCCCACCCACUCUAAUGGCCCUUGUACCUCCUCUUCCUCCACUCACACCUCCACAACAACACUUCCACCCUUUUUCUUCCACGCCAACAUCCUUAAUCACACCUAGUCUUCCUCUCUCACCACCCACCACAACCUUUGCAGCAGCAUCAAGAACCCGGCUUUGUCUUCCUACCCUACCCCCUCCUCCCUCACACCCUCCAAACAGCAUCAACCACAACAGUAGCAGCAACAGCAGUCGAGGCCGGGGCUACCACAGCCUUGGUUUGUCGACUACCACCCAGCAGUCACUCCACCCCGAACUUGGUUAUAACAAGAGGCACUGUGGCCAGCGCCCUACGCCUCUCUACGCCGGGUGUGAGCGUCACGGGCGGAGCCACCUAUCUAACAAACGUGGGAAUUGUGAGUGACAGAGACAGCAAAUUAUCCUGGCCCGAGAUCACCCACAGCGUAGAGUCAGGAGAAGGCUGGACGGCAGUCUGGACUCUUACUGUUUCUCACAAACUGGUACCAGGAAUUUGCUGGAGCUGAGACGUGGUGCUGGGAGUGUUGAGAGGUGAGGUGAGGGCGGCCAGUGUGUGAGGCGAGCAUCAGCACGUGUGUGUAUAAGACGGACGCACGUCGGGUGUGAGGUGGUGUGCCGCGCCCGCACACUCACACCAACCACUUGUCUACCACACUUACCACACACCUAUCUACCUUACACACAACCAAACCAAUUAUUUACCUGAAACGGUUGUAGCAAGUUUAUUGGUAAAUGUUGCACACAGAGCAGAUAGGAGGAGCCAUGGGCCGUCCUGCUGCCGAACUUGACAGUGAGCGAGUGUAACUAGUAAUAUCUGAAGCAUUCCAUAAACAGUAGCGGGCGGAGCAGGUGUACUGGCCAGCCUGUCGGUGCCACCAUGGUGCCAGUUCGGUGUCACCAUGGUACCAACAUGGUGCCAGCACGAAUGCCAGCAUGAUGCCACCAUUGUGCCAACAUGAUGCCAGUGUGGUGUCAGCGAUGUGUCAGCAUGGUGCCAGCGUGGUGCCGGCGUGUUAGCAAGUGGCGCGGCCUCCAGCUACCGCCAAUAUAUAUAUAUAUAUAUAUAUAUAUAUAUAUAUAUAUAUAUAUAUAUAUAUAUAUAUAUAUAUAUAUAUAUAUAUAUAUAUAUAUAUAUAUAUAUAUAUAUAUUUAUAUAUAUAUAAUAGUUUUCUCCCUGAAGACGAUGCACUCCAAAGCACAAACAACGUAUCUUCUGCCCUGUUUGUAUACUGUGUGGUCAGUCACAUGGGAUCUGAGUGUUCGAGUGUUUCAGUCUCGUCAACGUUGCCAAACAUCUCCUCCUGUUGUCUUCUCGAUGUUGGUAUUGUUCUUAGUGCCGUCGAGUGUUACCGCAUAUCAUGGUGACCAGCCAGCUUAUGGCUCGUGGUGACCGAGACCCACCCACGCCUACCUGCCUCUACCCCAGACACCGUCACCGGGGGCCCACCACCGCCACCAGGGGCCCCUCCACACCACUUACACCGCCACCAGGGGCCCCACCACACCAUCAUCAUUACCACCGAGGGCCCACCACACAACCACCGCUGGGGGCCCAUCACACCACCACCACCGUCACCAAGGGCCCACCACACACUGCUAUAAGGGACUAACGACACCACCACUCACUUGCAGGGGCCCCAUAACACCAUCACCAAGCAGCAGGGGCCCCAGCACCUCCAGGAGGGCCCUCCGCUUUUCUGUAGGUGCAGACUGUGACGCUCUCUCAAGACCAUCAGUCAUUUUUGUACCUAUAAUGUGUCCUUCACUGUAUGAUGUGCAUGAAGACAGGCAACUCCAGGUGGCGUCAGUACAGUAUAUGCUGGCCGGGCCGGGCUGAGGUCCGGUGACGGGCGUCUUCAUCAUUCCUGUUUCAGUUGUGUGAUGGUUCUUGUUGAGUGCCAUUCAAUUAUGCCACCUUCUCUCGCCGAGGCCACACAACCUCCAUAUAAGAACAUCACUCCAAGAGAAGGAAGGAUCUGGUUUCUGGCAUGCGUCUUCAGUCAUAUACCCCAGACAUGACCACCUACUGAGGACGAGUCAGUCUUUUCUUUACAGGUCAGAAAUUGGUACAAAGCGAGUGAGUGUAAGAGAAAAGCACCAAGGUGAUGAGUGUGCGGGAGUUGUGGGAGAAUCGUUGAAAUUUUCUCUUUCUGAGGCCUCUCCCUCUGUAGCAUUGUGAUGUGGAUUCUCUCAGUCAGCCAGUCAUCAGAUAAAGUCAGCGUGUAAUGGCUAUAUUCUUGGUCUUACAAGGAUAACUUACUUGUCAAGCAAAUUUAUUUGGUUGACCGUAGUGUGUUAAGCUAGAGUUGUCGUCAUUUUGCCUGAGGCCGCGGAACAUGCAGGUGCCUUCUCCCCCCUCCCCCUCCUCCUUUAUAUAGAUGCUUACCCCAUGUCUUGUCCCACAUGCAUGUGCCCUAUCUGACCCAGGCGGCAAUAGGUUGUACUAAUUCAGUUACGAGUAAUUCACAUUGGCUCUUACUGCAUCAGCCCACAACUGAACCAGAUAAGCUGGGUGGUUAGGUGAGUGGGUGGCCUAGUGAGUGGGCAGCCAGGUGUUCAGGUGAUGGGCAGGUGAAUGGGCGGCCAUGUUGAAAACUUGAGAUUAUUGACAGUGCAGGCUAUCUCUCGACAGCCACACCUCCAACAGCCAUCGCCUCACUCCUACUUCCUCCUCCCUUCGUCCAGCUCAUCACCCCUGCAGGGCCUGUUUGAGUAAGGUUGUUUAUGUGGCCAUUCACAGAGCAUCUAUUAUCCUCUGAGCACCCAAUAGUCGUCGUCUUGGCCUCACUUAACCUCAACUUCCUCGUCCUCCAUUCUUCUCUUUGCCCUCUUACACGUCAUCCGCCUAUUCAUCCACCAUGCUACUAGUCCUCUUUCUCUUUCACCCAUUUCGACAUCCUUCACACUAUGCCCAGCCUACUCAUCCAUUCCUCACCUGAUUCACCCAAUUAUCCUUUUAUUCAUACUCCUGGCCAAAGGUGGGUGAUUGUGAGCCUAACGCUGCUCCUCCCAGAUAGUGUUAUAUUCCUGGCCGCCCUUAUGACGUUACUGCUCAUCCCUCUAAACUCACUUAUUAUUGCUUAACCCCAUCACUUAAAUGGGUUAUUCGUUAGCCGACGUUGUCAUAUGACCACCCUGUAGUACGGGGCCUCACUAGGCUUCAGUAUGACCAUCAGUGUACCAAAAUGAUGUCCCUGUCUUUUGGUGAGGUGAGUGUGGUGCUUCACUUGGUUUGCAUCACCUUCAGUGUGUCAUGGUAGUGUAGACGACGGCUCCUUGUCUCAUAAACUUAGGAGAUGGGUGUAGUGUGCUACGACCAGGAGUCAACAUGGUGGCAUACUCGUCAACACACAGCUAUGUGGGUUUCCGGGCGGGCCGCUGUAGCAUUUCCGCCUUUGAGCUUACCUACCAUAAUAAUUGACUUAUAAGACCAUCCUUCAGACCCUCGCAAGAUGCAUAGAUCUCACUUGUGACGUUUUGUAAGUGUAAUCCGGUCUUUAUACUGAGGACAAGCACCUGUUUUCUUAUCUCUUCGUCUCCACUUUCAAAGAUAAACAUAAUUUACAGUCAGGUGUCCCGUGCCAUCUGUAUCACCUGCUCGUGAUGUUGGGUGAGGGAGUUAGGCACCUCCAUUAUCAUGUUGCCUACACCGUUGGUUACAUUGUGUUGUUGGCUCCCCGUGUCACCUUUGGUUUCCCCCUCAGUAGCACUCAUUAUAAAGGUACUUAUUUGUCGGCUGACGUUCCAUAUAAGAAUUUAUGUAGUUGAUGUACUCUGGCGUUUGUCUUGUCCCAGCCGCCUUCUCCAGAGGUUUGGCGCAGUGUUGUGUCAAGGUCGACGUAUCAAGAUAUCUGUUAACUGUCGACUCAUUUUGCUGUUUUUUUUUCAAGAUUUUUUUUUAAGCAAUAUUGUGACGUCAACAUUACAUCGCCAGGUGUUAUUUGAAAAUCGAGUCAGUAUACCUGGAAUUUCUUAAAGGUACACAAUAUAUACCAUCUGUUCUCUAAAAGUCGACUCACUAUACCAGUUGUUCUCUGAAGGUCGACUCACUAUAACAGUUGUUCUCUCAAGGUCGACUCACUAUAACAGUUUUUCUCUAAAGGUCGACUUAAUAUACCGGCUGUUCUCUAAACGCCGACUCACAAUACCAGCUGUUCUCUAAACGCCGACUCACUAUACCGGCUGUUCCCUAAAAUCAUUCUUCUUUAGGUGAGCUUGUUACUCUAGGUUGACUCACGUGAAGUACAGUAACAGAUAAUACUGCAGAUAACCUUCAAUGGUUGAUUAUACCACCUAUUUUCUGAAGACGAUCCCUUACGUGUUUUCUAACAGUAUACCUCUCCCUCCUCCGUCUAUAUUAACUAAGAGGUAACGCUCCUUAAACUAUAUAUGUUAACUAAGGGUUAAAUCCCCCUAAAUCAUGUUUUAACUAAGGGUUCACUCCCUUAUACUAUUAAUGUUAGCUACCACCAUCUAUGCUAAUUAAGAGUUAACGUAAUAAGUAGUGUGUCUUGUAUAUGUCAAGUCUCCCAACCUAACUUGAAGACCGAACUACUUAUCAAGAUCAGCUGUUCUCUUAAGAUUUGAUUCCCCUAUACAGCAGCUUAUUUCUAAAGGCAAUCCCACACUAGCUUUUAUCUAAAAUUUGAUUCCCUCACCGCUGCUGAAAACCUACUCAACAACACCACUUUACUUCCUCCCUCUUCCAAAGGUUUUGCCUCUUACUGAAAGAGCUCCCUAACCCCCUUCACCGCGUUGAAGUCUUUCCCUUGCCGACUACAGUACUCCCUCUCUCCUGCUGAGUACAGUACUUCCUCUCUCGCUGAGUACAGUCCUUUCUCUCUCCUGUUGAGUGCAGUACAUCCUCUCUCUACUUAGUACAGUACUCCCUCUCUUGCCGAGUACUCCGUGUCCCUUUGGUGAAGUGAUCACCUUUAGUAGUUCAUCUUCACUGCCAAACAUUUGUUCUUGCCUUAGUUCAAGUCCCCCGAUGGUCACCGAGGUUUCCUUUACUUGUUUCUAUAAUGCCUCACUCGGCAUGUCUCUCUGGUGAGCUUUAUACGUAGGAUCCUCUGAAACUUUUAAUUAAGGAUCCUUUGUAAGCUUUAACUUGGACCUCUUAUGAUCUUAUUGAGAGGUUUCUUUUUAACCUCCAACGGAAGACCUGAACACCACGUUUCAGUGGGGGAACCUUGUAUUCAUUAUAUAAGGGAUCCCUUACAACCCUUACAGCAGUGUUCUCUUACUGUCUUCGUAGUAGAGAUCUCUUGUCAAUUUUAUGGAAGGGGUCCCUUGUGAGGCUUACCGUUAGGGUGUUGUGCGAGGUGGUAUCCCAGGGGUCUUUUUUGACCGAUCACUGCAGGGAUCCUUUGUGCGGUUUAUCAUAGCGAAGCCUCGUGGGGUUCGCUAUGAUAAUGGUGCCCUCGGGGUGUUUAAUGAUCCUUGUGCACAUAUUCCCUCAUGCCUAGCGAGUGCUCACUUUUCCUUAAUGUGUUCCCCGCACCCGCUGGCUCAGAUUAGGUGUUUUCCGUGGCCAGUGGAGCCUUUUUGAGGGGUUCCCCCAUCCAAAUACGGUUACCCAUCGUGUUUUCUCCAAAAAAUGUUUUCGUAUCGUGUUUUUCUCCCCAAUGGUAAAGUGCUGUGUUUCCCCAGGGAUGAUUUCCUUGGUCCACUUAUCAUUCUCGUGUGGAGCCUCCUCACUGGUUCCUUAUAUGUGUUCCCUCGCCGCCAGGCUCCCUCUUACAUAUUUGCCACUCCAUUAGGUGUUCCCGCCCCGUGUUCCCCACUAGGUGUUCCAUACUACUCCAGCCAAUCCAUAUUGCGUGUCCCCUAUUCCUGCCCUUCCUUUUAUGUAGAUAUGAUCGAUGUUUCCUUCCAGGACGGACCUUCACUGUUGCCAGAGUGGCCCUUCCACUGUGCCACUCUUCUCCAUGUGCUCCCUCUACGGUGUUACCAAUUUCCCGAAUGGAUCCUCAACGGUGUUAACACUUGAUCUCUAAGUGGUUCCUAGUGUUACUACUCCCCUCCCAGUGUUGCCGCCUUUUUUUUCCAGUGGUUCCUCAACAGUGUUCCCACUUCCCGAUGGUCCCUCUACAGUGUUACCACUUUCUAGUGGUCCAUCAACAGUGUUACCACUCCCCAUGGUCCCUCCGCAGUGUUGCCACUUUCCAGUGGUCCCUAAACAGUGUUGACACCCCCAAGUGGUCCUUCUACAGUUCUGCCUCCUCCCUAGUGGUUCCUUUGAAGUGUUGCCACCUUCCCAGUGGUCCCUUUACGAUGUUGCCAUUUCCCCAGUGAUCCCUCUACAGUGUUGCCACUUCCUCCCCAGUGGUCCCUCUACAGUGUUGCCACCUCCUCCGCGCUUCGCCGUGUCUGGGCGCGGUGUUGCUGUAGUUCUUCCACGUUGUAUGUUGUAUCGUAUACUGUGUGGUGUGUGUGUGUUGUACGACACACAGACGGUCGGGUAGUUGUGGAGUGUUUGUCAUGAUGAGCGUCACCUGUGGAUGUGUGGCUCAUCCAUGUAUCAGUAUGAAUGAUAGAUGUUCAGUGGUUCAGCCCAUCAAGUUUAGGCAACAUGCGGACGUAGAGACUAACCAAGUCUCACCAAGACUUGGUAGAUAGUCACCAAGUGUCUCACCACUCAAGGUGGGCUUUUGCAUCUCUUGGAGAAUGGUGACUCAUGUUUGCAGCCGCUGACCAAGGCAAGGAGUGAGGAUAUGAUGAGUAAAUGAGGUAGGGGCCGCGUGCCUCUGCCUGCGUGUAUGUGUAAGUGUGGUGUGGGAAUGUAUGGCCAGGUGGAGCGUGUCCAACCUAGCUGCCGUAAUGUUAGCCACCGCAGGUCUUGUGCUACAGCUGAGCACGAUUCUCUGUUCGGAGCGAGGUGAGAGUGUGGUGUGAGUGUGAGAGUGUUGUGCCAGCAGCAGCGGUGAGAGGUGAGAAUGCCAGCAGCGGUGAGAGGUGCGCCAGGCGCCUGGUGACGGGAGGACGAGCGAGCAGUGCUGCUGGUGCUGGUGCUGAGGCCGCACUCGUCAUAUCCAGCCAGGGUCCACCGCAUAUCUGCCAGGCGGCCGUCCCGCCCACACGCACCUGCGGGCCGCGCCUCCUGGCCCGGGCCGCACUAGUGGUGGCCCAGCCUGGCCCUUGUGGCCCGCACCGCGCACUCCAGCAUCGUCUGGCUGGUAGAGAGCCGGGCGCGGCGCGGGCCGGGCCAACCCCCCCCACGCGCUACCCGGGGCUCAGUUGUUCCUGGAACAAUUGGGUGGCGCGUGGGGCCGUCGACAAUCGCGUGUUGUUUGUGUCGCUGUGGCUUGUGGUGAAAGUCGUGGCGCGGUGCGGCCAUCGCAGCCGUGCGCUCCCGGCGGACCCGCGGCCUGGUGGACCGCCCGGGCCCACCGGGACCGCUACACUGCACCGCCUGCGCCGCGACGCCAGGGGCAGUACACGCCCACACAUGUCAGUAUUUAUUCAGUUUAACCUGCAAUAAAAGUCAAAUCUAUAUUCAUGUGAAUUAUAGAGUGAUAAAAUUCGUGAACAUAUAGAAUAUUAAAUGUACAAAUAUAAA